GACGAACGCUGGCGGCGUGCUUAACACAUGCAAGUCGAACGGAAAGGCCCUGCUUUUGUGGGGUGCUCGAGUGGCGAACGGGUGAGUAACACGUGAGUAACCUGCCCUUGACUUUGGGAUAACUUCAGGAAACUGGGGCUAAUACCGGAUAGGAGCUCCUGCUGCAUGGUGGGGGUUGGAAAGUUUCGGCGGUUGGGGAUGGACUCGCGGCUUAUCAGCUUGUUGGUGGGGUAGUGGCUUACCAAGGCUUUGACGGGUAGCCGGCCUGAGAGGGUGACCGGCCACAUUGGGACUGAGAUACGGCCCAGACUCCUACGGGAGGCAGCAGUGGGGAAUAUUGCACAAUGGGCGGAAGCCUGAUGCAGCAACGCCGCGUGCGGGAUGACGGCCUUCGGGUUGUAAACCGCUUUCGCCUGUGACGAAGCGUGAGUGACGGUAAUGGGUAAAGAAGCACCGGCUAACUACGUGUCAGCAGCCGCGGUGAUACGUAGGGUGCGAGCGUUGUCCGGAUUUAUUGGGCGUAAAGGGCUCGUAGGUGGUUGAUCGCGUCGGAAGUGUAAUCUUGGGGCUUAACCCUGAGCGUGCUUUCGAUACGGGUUGACUUGAGGAAGGUAGGGGAGAAUGGAAUUCCUGGUGGAGCGGUGGAAUGCGCAGAUAUCAGGAGGAACACCAGUGGCGAAGGCGGUUCUCUGGGCCUUUCCUGACGCUGAGGAGCGAAAGCGUGGGGAGCGAACAGGCUUAGAUACCCUGGUAGUCCACGCUGUAAACGGUGGGUACUAGGUGUGGGGUCCAUUCCACGGGUUCCGUGCCGUAGCUAACGCUUUAAGUACCCCGCCUGGGGAGUACGGCCGCAAGGCUAAAACCCAAAGGAAUUGACGGGGCCCCGCACAAGCGGCGGAGCAUGCGGAUUAAUUCGAUGCAACGCGUAGAACCUUACCUGGGUUUGACAUGGAUCGGGAGUGCUCAGAGAUGGGUGUGCCUCUUUUGGGGUCGGUUCACAGGUGGUGCAUGGCUGUCGUCAGCUCGUGUCGUGAGAUGUUGGGUUAAGUCCCGCAACGAGCGCAACCCUUGUUCACUGUUGCCAGCACGUUAUGGUGGGGACUCAGUGGAGACCGCCGGGGUCAACUCGGAGGAAGGUGGGGAUGACGUCAAGUCAUCAUGCCCCUUAUGUCCAGGGCUUCACGCAUGCUACAAUGGCUGGUACAGAGAGUGGCGAGCCUGUGAGGGUGAGCGAAUCUCGGAAAGCCGGUCUCAGUUCGGAUUGGGGUCUGCAGCUCGACCUCAUGAAGUCGGAGUCGCUAGUAAUCGCAGAUCAGCAACGCUGCGGUGAAUACGUUCCCGGGGCU
rnacentral:rRNA from 1 species